UACGACGUGCGCUACGUCGGCGGGAGGGGGCGGGAAAUCGGAAAGUGCCCCGACGGUACUUAGGUUCUCAUAGCGAAGCUGUUCGAAUCACCGAACACACUCGUGCUGUUUGUCAAAAAUC